UACGUAGGGUGCAAGCGUUAAUCGGAAUUACUGGGCGUAAAGCGUGCGCAGGCGGUUUUGUAAGUCUGUCGUGAAAUCCCCGGGCUCAACCUGGGAAUUGCGAUGGAGACUGCAAGGCUAGAAUCUGGCAGAGGGGGUAGAAUUCCACGUGUAGCAGUGAAAUGCGUGAGAGAUGUGGAGGAACACCGAUGGCGAAGGCAGCCCCCUGGGUCAAGAUUGACGCUCAUGCAC
rnacentral:rRNA from 1 species